GUAUUAAUAGGGAAAUUAUGAUGCAUUCAAUUAUUCUGAAAUGCCUUCCAGAGAUGUUUUGAUUUGGCUGCACUCGGAUAGUAGCAGCGCAGCAGGGAGCAUCUCAAGUGAUGAAUAACCUAAUCUCCUAAUCUCAAAAUGGGCACUGUUCACAGCUAGCCUGGGAGACGCUGGUAGGAGAAGCCACACUUCACAGACGCGGCCACGAAGAGGAAUCCAGCAAAAACAACAACCCCACAGACAACAACAGCAACAACAGCCUAACUGGAACCCCAGCCUGCCACGCUGCCACCCAGCCUUUUGAAAAACAGCAUGAACUACCAGGAAGAAGCAAGUGUAAUGGACAUGCCGACUUCAUCAGGACCACACUUGUCAUCUUUGGAUUCAACAGUCAGACAGUCUCCCAGGAUGGUGUAAAGAUGAAAAUGGGGAGGUACUUCUUGAGAAGGAGGAGUCUCCCUCUCUGUUGAUGAGCUUUGCGAAUAUUAACUGAUAAACAGCUGAUGGUCCUAUCACUGGUUUUAAGUAGUAUAAGUAUUUUUCAAUGUUUUAAAGUGACAUUUUUAUUGUAAUGUAGGGUAGAAAAAAAUGAUCACCAAAUUUUAUUGUGCACAUUUUAGGAAUUAUUCAGGAUAGUCUAUUUUGUUAAAAAUUAAUUUCUAUUUGUAUUCCUUUCUUAACUCAUUUUAUAAUUUUGAAUUUUUUUAUAAUGUACAGAAUAUACUUGUACAGUAAUACAUAUGCUAUAUUGUUAUAUGAGGUACAAUAAACAUUUGUUUAAAGUUUAAAAGUACACAGUUCACCAAAAAAUGUAUACAUACUUCAGAAAAAGAUAUAGUACAAUAGUUUUUCAAUAGAUGGUGACAUCCUUAUGUGGAGGACCCCUAGAGGUUGUAUAUGGCAGAAAAACCAUUACACUGCUGGCCCCAAGAGAGGAAAUGCAUGUGCAGCAAUCUCAAUAUUAAUGUUGCUCAAGUAGCAGUUCACCAUAUUAAUAAAUGUUUGGAAGCCAAUGGCCACCAUUCUGAGCAUCUCUUGUAAUUGUAGAGGCCAAAGAUAACUUGUAUUAAUCUCAUGGCAUCUCAAUAAAUUUAGUAUUAAAACAUUUCCCUCCUUUUAUCUUUAAAAUAAAAAAAAUAAAAAAAAAAAACAUUUGUACAAAUGUUUCUUUUCCUGGAGUGUAUAUACAUUUUUUGGUAGACUCCAUAUAACAGUAAAGACAUUGCCAUUAAUCUCCCUCAAAAUACUCCCCCUUGCUUCAAAAACUCUUAGCCCAAGGUUCUUGCCAUUGUUUGACACAAUUCUGCAAGUCCUCUUCCAUGUCUUUAGUUGCAUUGUUGUGGUUGUCUCAGUGUCACGAACUGGUGCAAAGUGCUUGCC
ensembl:lincRNA